rnacentral:rRNA from 1 species
AUGGCGACGGCGAGGAGGGUGGUCCUCAUCCCCGGCCAGAGCAUAAGCCACCUCACGCCCAUGAUGGAGUUCGCUGCGGUCUGCCUCCGUCGUGGCCUCGCCGUCACCGUCGCCGUCCCGGACCCAACCCUCACCUCCCCGGUUUUCCGCUCCACCAUCGGCCGGUACGCCUCCCGGCUCCCCUCCCUCUCCGUCCACUCCCUCCCUCCCCCUCCUGCCGAUGACCACUCCGUUGGCGCCGUGCACCCGUUCAUCCGCAUGCAGGCUGUCUUCCGCUCCCAGGCACCCGGCCUGCGAGACUUCCUCCGCAGCCUCCCCGCAGUCCACGCGCUCGUGGCCGACAUGUUCGCCGCUUACCUCCUCGACGUCGCCGCGGAGGUGGGCGUCCCGGGGCACCUCUUCUACUGCACAGGCGCCGCCAACCUUACCGUCUUCCUCGAGCUGCCUUCAUUUUGCUCCGGGAGCGGCGCAGACUUGAAAGAUCUCGGCGACGCGCCCGUGUCGUUCCCCGGCGUGCCCACGAUGCCGGCGUCUCACUUGGUCGACGGGGUGCUCGACAGCGGGACGGACCUGUACGCGGCUGUGCUGGACGUAUUCGGCCGGAUGGCGACAGCGCGCGGCAUUCUGGUGAACACCUUCGAGGCGCUGGAGGGCUCGGCGGUGGCGGCGAUUAGAGACGGGCGCUGCCUCCGCGGCCGCGCCGCCCCGCGGGUCUACUGCGUAGGCCCGUUGAUCGCGGAAGGCGGCGAGGAGGAGGAGAGGCACCCAUGCCUCCCGUGGCUGGACGCGCAGCCCGAGGGCAGCGUCGUGUACAUCUGCUUCGGCAGCCGCUGCACGGCCUCGCUGGAGCAGAUCAGGGAGAUGGCCAAGGGGCUCGAGAUGUCCGGGUACAGGUUCCUGUGGGUGCUGCGCGCGCCUCCUGCCUUCGCCGCAGUCGCCGGCGAGCCGGACGCGACGCUGUCUCUCCUCCCCGAGGGGUUCUUGGCCCGGACGGCCGGCAGGGGCCUCGUGGUGACCGCGUCCUGGGUGCCACAGAUGGACGUGCUGCGUCACGCGUCCACUGGUGCCUUCAUGACGCACUGCGGAUGGAACUCGACGCUGGAGGCGGCGGCCACCGGCGUGCCGAUGGUGUGCUGGCCGCUGGAAGCCGAGCAGUGGAUGAACAAGGUGUACAUUGUCGAGGAGAUGAAGGUUGGCGUGGCGGUGAGAGGGUAUAACAAACCCGGGGUGCUUGUCUCGGCCGAUAAUGUGGAUGCCACGGUUAGGCAGAUCAUGGACAUGGAGUCGGAAGGUCGGCGAGCGGUCGUCGAACGGGCCAUGGCCGUAAAGGAGAGCGCCGCCGCGGCGUGGAAGGAAGGUGGCUCGUCUUGUGCCGCGUUCGCCGAGUUCGUGAAGCAGAUGGAGUAA